UACAGGGGGGGCAAGCGUUGUUCGGAAUUACUGGGCGUAAAGGGUCUGUAGGUGGCCAACUAAGUCAGACGUGAAAUCCCUCAGCUUAACUGGGGAACUGCGUCUGAUACUGGAUGGCUUGAGUGUGGGAGAGGAAUGCGGAAUUCCAGGUGUAGCGGUGAAAUGCGUAGAUAUCUGGAGGAACACCGGUGGCGAAGGCGGCAUUCUGGACCAUAACUGACACUGAGAGACGAAAGCCAGGGGGAGCAAACGGG
rnacentral:rRNA from 1 species